GAAUUGAAAUAAAACGUGAAAGAAUACGAAAUCGAAAGAAUGAAAUGCAAAAAAUCGAGGUAAGAGUUGAACUUUUUGUUCUUAAAAUGAAUUUGCCCUACACAAGUGUCAGUGGUGGAUUGUCAUCUUCUCCCAAGAUACAACUAUCAAUUCUUGUGAUUGCAGCAUUUUGAAUUACAAUAAUCAACUAACAACAUAAUGUUUUCUACUCCUUUUUGUAUGAAAUGGAAAAAGAAUUUUGGUGCAGAAAUUUGGCUAUUAAUUUAAUGUUUAUGUAUGCAAUGAUUG
rnacentral:lncRNA from 1 species